GCCCAGUAAAGAUCUUAACUUUCUGACAUAGAAAUGGCAUUUGUACCAGAAGUACGUAUGAUCACAGUUGUAUAGAAAAUCCGAUCCAGACUUUGUUGUUGUUGUUGAUUAGAGACAGAGUUUCUCUGUGUAGUUUCUCUGUGUAGCUCUGGCCUCAAGCUCGGAGAUCACCUGCUUCUGCCUCCCUGGCUUAGGAGUAAAGGCGUGCGCCACCACCGUGCGCCCAAUCCAGGCGUUUCAGUGCCUGUUAACAGUUGAAUUCCUCUGAGAAGUAUUUGGCCUUGUGUUGUACCUUUAGUCUUGCUAUUUUUGUUUUCUUUGGUGAUUUAUUCUAAAUUCCUACAGUGAUGAUAUCUUACAUAGAAUAUUAUUAUCAACCCAGCUAAUACUUUGUUACUCUCUUCUUUAAGCCGAGUCUGUUCUACAGCUUCAUUUGACUCGCAAGCCUUCACUUGAGCCAUAGCUACAGUUCUCUUAGAGCUCAAGAGAAGCUUACAGUCUUGACUUUGGGCCAUCCACGCCACCCAGAAAGUUCACUCGAUAGCCCCUUCCCUUCACGCUGUUUCAUACAAAAUCUAGUAGUUUUGUUUUUCUGUUUUCCAUAUGGGACAGGUUAACAUCGGGGCUGUUUAUAACAAAUGAUUUUACCAUGUAUCUAAACACUGUCCCACGCUUCAGAGCA
rnacentral:lncRNA from 1 species